rnacentral:rRNA from 1 species
UACGGGGGGGGUAAGCGUUGUUCGGAAUUACUGGGCGUAAAGGGCUCGUAGGCGGCCAACUAAGUCAUACGUGAAAUCCCUCAGCUUAACUGGGGAACUGCGUGUGAUACUGGAUGGCUUGGAUUUGGGAGAGGGAUACGGAAUUCCAGGUGUAGCGGUGAAAUGCGUAGAUAUCUGGAGGAACACCGGUGGCGAAGGCGGCAUCCUGGACCAAUAUUGACGCUGAGGAGCGAAAGCCAGGGGAGCAAACGGG